CAGAAAUCUUCUUACAGCUGUGUCUAAUUUCAAAAGAGAAAUAUUUGCCAUUAAUAUCACCAUGAAGAAGUUCCCAAGCAACCCAAUAGAAAAUCCACAAACUAUCUUUUUUUUUUUUUUAAAUCCACAGACUUUGGUGUUGCCUAGAGCCUUGGCUAGAAGAAUUUCUGACGUUGAAUCUGAUCACUGGCCACCGCUUUGGCUUCCUGAGCAGUAUUCUGCAUGUACAUGUCAGCUGAGACAUCCUCUUCCAACCACCCUAAUCAGAUUGGCUUGUUCCAACCAAAGGCCCUCGUGGAUUUUAACUUUUUAUAGCUUCAUUAGUUACUGUUGGUGUUCUGAAGAGGAGCAGAUUCUGCAAAAUCCAAAGCUUUUCUUCAUCAUAUGGAAUUUAAGGAAAAGAAAAACAAAGGCAUGGUGGCAGACGCCCAUAAUCCCAGCUGCUCAGGAAGUUGAAGCUGGAGAAUCGUUUGAACCCAGGAGGCAGAGGUUGCGGCGAGCCGAGAUUGCACCACUGCACUGCAGCCUGGGCGACAGAGUGAGACACCAUCUCAACAACAACAAAAAGUUCUGGAG
rnacentral:lncRNA from 10 species